GUUUUCGUUUCUGGUUCGCGCUUCUCCCUCGAGGUGUUUAGGCGUUUUUGUUUCUUCGAUCAGUUUUUGUAAUCUUAAAUCUCGGUGGCUCUCGCGUCUUUACUCCGUUUCAGUUGCCGUGCGUGUGGCUUUCCGAGUUAGGCAUCUUUGCUCCAUUCCAGUUGGUGUUUUCGUCAGUGCCUCAAGUUGUAGCGCUAAUUCAUUACAAAUUUUCGUGCUUCCCCGUAACCUAGAAUUGCUCCAUACGAGAUGAAAACCCUAGUCGAGGUCCACCACUCGUGCUUCAAUCGCUCGCGGCUCGACAGCUCACGCCUCCAAACGAGGUGAAAACCCUAGCCGAAGUUAUUGAGGGUUAGAACAAAUCUUGCUUUAUCAUCAAGUGCAGGAAAUGUCGAGUGUUGGAAAGACAAAGAGGAUUGGAGAGACACGACGAUUUUGUGCCUCCUCGUGGCAUAAAUGGAAAAGUUCACCAAAACUAGGUGAAGAUUAUAAAGUGUCUUGUUGAGAAUAUUGUGGUGGACAUUUCAUUUAACCAACUUGGAGGAUUGACCACCCUUUGUUUUCUUCAGGAGGUAUAUUGGUGAUUUAUACUAUCCUAUAAUUGUCAUUUUAUCUACAUAUUUGAAUUUUAAUUCUGAUAAUGAGUUUUAAUGUAUUUACUGGAGUUUUAUGUUUUUUCUGCUAUAGUUUGAUAGGUGGUAGUGGAGUUAGUUUAGUUGGAGCUUCUUUGAAGGGAUUAUGUACGGUUUGUUGUUUGCUGCAGGGGAAGAAAAAG